AUGCUAGUUGCUACAGCUCUGGGCAGGAUCCAGGGAGCUAAUUUGGAGGGCGUCCUUGCCUACUAUGGCUUCCCGAUUCCAAUGCCCCCUGUAGUCACCACAGAGCACCAUCCAGCAUCACUACCAGACGGGCAGUUCGUCCUGAAAACUUUGCCGAUUUAUGCAAAGUGCAUUGGAGAUGGUGAUGGCUUUACUGCUUAUGUUGACACAGCAGAUCCAACCGAAUCAGCAAAUGUGCCACAGGAAGUGCGUGAGGCUGUCAAUGCAAUGUCACAAACACCCAAGCAUAGGAACAGCCAACAGAAAAGUGUACUCCAAAGUAAGCUGAACAAAGCUGGUUAUAGGAUAAUAUAUACUUCAAAAGAUGAGAUCCUUGCAAGGCAAUACCGCUUCAGAUUGAGGGGCAUUGAUGCACAGGAGAUGGGAAUGCAAUAUGGGAAGGAGUCCCAGAAUGCGCUGGUGAACCUUAUCGCUGGCAAAAGUGUCAUGGUUUACGUAUAUGGGCAGGACCAGUAUGAUCGCUGUGUUGGAGAUAUCUAUUGUGAUGGUGUGUUCAUCCAGGAACAAAUGCUGAAGGAGGGUCAUGCAUGGCAUUACAAGAUUUACGAUAAAUGCAAAGAAUUUGCAAAAUGGGAGAUGAAAGCACGAGAUGCACGUCGAGGGCUUUGGGCAUCUGAUAACCCUGAGAAGCCGUGGGAUUGGAAAAGGAAGCACAACGUGAGAAAUGAGGCAUCUGAUAACCUUGAUAAGACAUGGGAAUGGAGACGGAAACCGCACAAUGCAAGACACCAGAACACCCCAAUUCAGGUGACAUUGUGUACCUGA
rnacentral:rRNA from 1 species